rnacentral:lncRNA from 1 species
CAGUUUUCGAGAAACACUUGGCAUAUUUGAAUCUCUUCAGACUUUGUUCAUGGCUUCAAAGCAACCUUUCAAAGUGCUAUUUGUUCUUGGGGUGGUGGCGGUGAUGCUUGCCACCAUUUGCAGAGGCUCUGGUGUGGACCAUACGUCUUCCAGUGAUGAGGGGUUUAAGGUGAAAACAAGGCAACCGCAGGACGAGGCCGCAGAGAAGGAAAGAGAGGGCAGAGAAAGCUCAGACUCAGAGUCAUGGGCAGAGUGGGCCAAGGAGAAAAUCUCUGGAGGACUUGGAUUGAAGCAGGAUGAUGAUGACGAAAAUAAUAAGAAAGCUUCUGAUGCUG